AUGCAUCUGAUAUGGGAGUUGGAGCAGUUUUGUCCCAACAAUCCCCGGUGGACCAAAAACUACACCCCUGUGCAUUCUUCUCCCAUUCACCAGGAAUUGCUGGUGAUGAAACUGGCUCUUGAGGAGUGGCGGCACUGGUUGGAUGGAGCGGAACAACCAUUCAUCAUUUGGACUGACCACAGAAAUUUGGAGUACAUUUGGAGUAAGAGACUCAAUGCCCAUCAAGCCCAUUGGACUCUCUUCUUUGGAAGGUUUAAGUUUGCUCUGUCAUACUGUCCUGGAUCCAGAAAUGUAAAGCCUGAUGGCCUGUCCCGACAGUUUGCGGCAGGGGAGUCUGCUGGUGAACCCGACCCGAUUCUCCUCAAGUCUUGUGUGGUGGAAUCCUUGACAUGGAACAUUGAUUCAAAGGUGCAAGAGGCUCUGGAACUUCACCGUGAUUCAGGAAACGGACCACCAAGUCUGCUGUAUGUACCUGACUCUGUUCGUUCUCAGGUUCUCAUCUGGGCCCAUUCCUCUCGGCUUACUUGUCACCCUGGUACCACACAAAAUCUGGAGGUGUUGAAGAAGAAGUUCUGGUGCCUUCCUUGGACAAGGAUACCCGUGAGUUUGUCGCCGCUUGCUCUGUUUGUUCUGCCAAUAAAACCUCCAAUAAGCCUACUGCUGGGUUGCUCCAGCCCCUGCCUGUACCUCAUUGCCCCUGGUCCCAUAUCGCCAUUGACUUUGUUACUGGUCUACCAUUGUCCCGAGGUAACACAACCAUUCUUACAAUCGUUGACCGAUUUUCCAAGGCUGCUCAUUUUGUUGCCAUCCUCAAGCUUCCUUCUGCCAGGGAGACAGCUGAUCUGCUCAUCCUGCAUGUCUUCAGACUCCAUGGCAUUCCAUCGGAUAUUAUUUUGGAUCGUGGGCCUCAGUUUACUUGUUUACACUCAGUGUGGAGAUCAUUCUGUUCUGUGUUGGGAGCUAAGGUCAGUCUCUCCUCUGGAUUCCAUCCCCGGUCCAAUGGCCAGACGGAAAGAGCUAAUCAAUCCCUUGAGACCCAUCUGA
rnacentral:lncRNA from 1 species